GAUGAACGCUGGCGGCGUGCCUAAUACAUGCAAGUCGAGCGAACAGACGAGGAGCUUGCUCCUCUGACGUUAGCGGCGGACGGGUGAGUAACACGUGGAUAACCUACCUAUAAGACUGGGAUAACUUCGGGAAACCGGAGCUAAUACCGGAUAAUAUAUUGAACCGCAUGGUUCAAUAGUUAAAGACGGUUUUGCUUUCACUUAUAGAUUGAUCCGCGCCGCAUUAGCUAGUUGGUAAGGUAACGGCUUACCAAGGCGACGAUGCGUAGCCGACCUGAGAGGGUGAUCGGCCAGACUGGAACUGAGACACGGUCCAGACUCCUACGGGAGGCAGCAGUAGGGAAUCUUCCGCAAUGGGCGAAAGCCUGACGGAGCAACGCCGCGUGAGUGAUGAAGGUCUUCGGAUCGUAAAACUCUGUUAUUAGGGAAGAACAAAUGUGUAAGUAACUAUGCACGUCUUGACGGUACCUAAUCAGAAAGCCACGGCUAACUACGUG
rnacentral:rRNA from 1 species